rnacentral:rRNA from 1 species
UUCCGGUUGAUCCUGCCGGACCUGACUGCUAUCGGAUUGAUACUAAGCCAUGCGAGUCUUUGCAGUAAUGCAAGGCAUACGGCUCAGUAACACGUAGUCAACUUACCCUAUGGACGAGGAUAAUCUCGGGAAACUGAGCAUAAUACUCGAUAGAUCAUAAUGCCUGGAAUGGUUUAUGGUUGAAAUGAUUCGUCGCCAUAGGAUGGGACUGCGGCCUAUCAGCUUGUUGGUGAGGUAAUGGCCCACCAAGGCGAUUACAGGUACGGGCUCUGAGAGGAGAAGCCCGGAGAUGGGUACUGAGACACGGACCCAGGCCCUAUGGGGCGCAGCAGGCGAGAAAACUUUGCAAUGUGCGAAAGCACGACAAGGUUAAUCCGAGUGAUUUCUGCUAAAGAAAUCUUUUGCCAGUCAUAAAACCACUGGUGAAUAAGGGGUGGGCAAGUUCUGGUGUCAGCCGCCGCGGUAAAACCAGCACCUCAAGUGGUCAGGAUGAUUAUUGGGCCUAAAGCAUCCGUAGCCGGCUUUGUUAGUUUUCGGUUAAAUCCAUGUGCUCAACGCAUGGGCUGCCGAAAAUACUGCAUGGCUAGGGAGUGGGAGAGGUAGACGGUACUCAGUAGGAAGGGGUAAAAUCCUUUGAUCUAUUGAUGACCACCUGUGGCGAAGGCGGUCUACCAGAACACGUUCGACGGUGAGGGAUGAAAGCUGGGGGAGCAAACCGGAUUAGAUACCCGGGUAGUCCCAGCUGUAAACGAUGCAGACUCGAUGAUGCAUUGGCAUAUAGCCAGUGCAGUGUCGCAGGGAAGCCGUUAAGUCUGCCGCCUGGGAAGUACGUACGCAAGUAUGAAACUUAAAGGAAUUGGCGGGGGAGCACCACAAGGGGUGAAGCCUGCGGUUCAAUUGGAUUCAACGCCGGG